CAGUAGCCGCGGUAAUGCGUAGGUGGCAAGCGUUGUCCGGAAUUAUUGGGCGUAAAGGGCUCGCAGGCGGUUUCUUAAGUCUGAUGUGAAAGCCCCCGGCUCAACCGGGGAGGGUCAUUGGAAACUAGGAAACUUGAGUGCAGAAGAGGAGAGUGGAAUUCCACGUGUAGCGGUGAAAUGCGUAGAGAUGUGGAGGAACACCAGUGGCGAAGGCGACUCUCUGGUCUGUAACUGACGCUGAGGAGCGAAAGCGUGGGGAGCGAACAGGAUUAGAUACCCCAGUAGUCCCUGUCUCUUAUAC
rnacentral:rRNA from 1 species